rnacentral:rRNA from 1 species
GUAUUCCGCUCCAUAGCGUAUAUUAAAGUUGUUGCAGUUAAAAAGCUCGUAGUUGAAUUUCGGGGUCAGUAGGUUGGUCAUGCCACAGGUAUGUACUGGCCUCACUGAUUCCUCCUUCCUGAUGAGCCGUAAUGCCAUUAAUUUGGUGUUGCGAGGAAUCUGGACUGUUACUUUGAAAAAAUUAGAGUGUUUAAAGCAGGCUAACGCUUGAAUACAUUAGCAUGGAAUAAUGAAAUAGGACGUUCGAUCUUAUUUUGUUGGUUUCUAAGAUUGACGUAAUGAUUAAUAGGGAUAGUUGGGGGCAUUAGUAUUCAAUUGUCAGAGGUGAAAUUCUUGGAUUUAUUGAAGACUAACUACUGCGAAAGCAUUUGCCAAGGAUGUUUUCAUUAAUCAAGAACGAAAGUUAGGGGAUCGAAGACGAUCAGAUACCGUCGUAGUCUUAACCAUAAACUAUGCCGACUAGGGAUCGGAUGAUGUUAAUUUUUUAAUGACUCAUUCGGCGCCUUACGGGAAACA